rnacentral:lncRNA from 1 species
AUCUGAAAAAAGAUGAAAGCAAAACAGAAUGCAUUGAUGAAGAUAAUUCCAAUCACAGCAUGCACAGCACAGAAUUGUUAUAGACUGGGUAACUUCGUUAAGAGUUCUCCAUGCCUGAAAGUGGUGGAUUCUGAAGGUAGAAAGAGUGACAACAUGAGAAGUGACAAAUGAAGCAAAUGAUUUCAGGAAAAAAGAAGACACAUAAAUAGCAAAAAAGGCACAGAUCAGAUAGCAGAAAGACACCGAGUAUUAACAUGAAAUUAAUACUCACCAUUAAAAUGAAGUAUCCACAUAAAUAAGGAUGAGUAGAAUCGAGCUACAGGAUCUGGACCAAGAUAGUUUUAGUGAGCAUCUCAAGUACAGUCAAGAGCACAAGAGAGGAUGUAUUGCUCAUCAAAUAUUGAGCUUCUUUAUAGCAGCACUAAUAGUCUGUGAGGAAGAAGCAGUAUGGCCAUACAGGGGAGCCAGUUGAAGAAGGACAUCAGGAUAUGAACAAUGAGAAGCCUUUGAAGAAGUGGCAGAAGCCAGGGAAAGUAGAUGAUCAGAGAUUGUGAGAUGACUUUUAUUCAGUAAGUCCCUUGUAGAUGUAAUGUAGGAAAUUGGUUGGUUUGGGGGAUAAUGU